AUUACAAUUUAUUAUUUAAAUAAUUCGAAAUAUAUGGUAUUGGUACGUAAAACAUUCAAGACGGGUAUAAGGUUAAUUUAUAUUGACUAGCAAAUUAUAUUUAUUUACGUAUCACGAGGAUUUAAAUAUUGGUUACGUAAAUAAAUUGGUAGAAGUAUAGUGAUCCGAAAUAUUAUAAAUAUUACAGGUUAGCUAUAAUAAAUAUUUCGUUAUUUUUAAUUAAUAAAUUUUGGAAUAUUUAGAAAAUAAUUAGAAUAAUCAUUAAAUUAACUAUUCUAGUAUUUUAUAGUUCCGAAUAAUAUUUUUAUGAAAAUCGUUAAAUGAGUCGGGACUAAAAUAUUCAUUAAAUAAACGAAAUAAAUUAAGCGAUUGCGAGACGUUUAAUUGCGGGCAAAUAAUGAUAAUAAUAAAACAAAAUAAACAAACUAACCGACUAGGUAAGCCGGUGGUAUUUGCACAUUGAAUCAAGAAAACUGGGUACUUGAGAAACCAGUUGUGUAGCCUCCAAGUAAGGUUUAACUAGGGUUAGGUUAAGCUCAUCAUAGUUAAAAGCUAGUAUAAAUACUAAAGAGAGUGUACACAUUAUUUCUUUUACAAGAGAAAUAGAAAGGGAGCAGAUUUUAAGCAGCAGAGAAAAUUUGCAAAGAGAACUCAGGGAAGGUGCCAAUCAAUCUUUAAUUAUUGAGAAUAUAUAUUCUCUGGAAGAGACGGAGCCAAUUGUAUAUUAAAUUUGAAAAAUGAUUGAAGCUAAGGACGACAGUAAAUAGUGAGUAUGGCACAACUCAAGGGAACCACCCGGAAAUUGGUUUUUGGCAAAGGCAGGAAAAAGGCGCAUCACCCAAGCUGAGACUGCUAGACAACUUGGUAGUACGAGCUAUAGUUAUUAUAAUGGUUUGAAAUCAGACUUCCCUUUAUGUAAUAAAGUUAGGCUCGGUAGUAAUGUUGUAAGAUGAUCGACUCUGGACUUGUGGGGAAAGAGUUGGAUUGUGUAAUAUUAAUAUGAAUGCAAGUGUUGUUUUGAGCCAGAUGUUCAGUGGCGGACCAGAUCUGCGGGAUGCGGAUCUGGGGGCGUCACAAGUUUGGUAUCAGAGCUGUAGUUAUAUCCUUAGGAUUCGAAAAACCCUAGGAAUAUAAUGAGCGAGAAUGACACGAAGAUUAAGAUAGGUAUCCUUGAAGAACCUAUCUCCAUAUGUUAGAGAACAUAUGUACCGAAUAAAUUUUUAGGUAAAGGUUAGUAGACCCUACAAAUUUAAACGUUUAUAGUUACGAGCAAUCGUAGUAGUAAAUAUCAAUAAUGGUAUUUGUUGUAUUAUGUAGAUGUCAGGUUAUGAUGACGAUUCUGAUACAUUGAUGGAGAUUGAGAUAAGAGAUAGUGAGUAUGAGAACUCUUUUAUAUAAAUAUUAGAACCACCAACACCUGAGAUCAUUAACAAAUAUCUGAGGAGACCGAGGAUAGAGCAUCUUCUGAAUUCACUGAGAAUGAUAAGAUGGAGAUCCUCCCCUCUUUACCUGAGUUGAAUUCUGUUCCUACUUUGACCACUUCUUUUUCAGUUACCACUUCUAGUCCACCUGCAUCCGAGAGUGGAGACCUUCCAUUUUAGACUUUCUUCGACAUUUUGAGCUUACACCUCUUCCAAAUAACCAUGUUACCACACAUACUUCUGAUCGUUGUGAUUUUGGAACUUUCAUGCUCUCUUUGAUUUGAGUAGGCACACCCGUGUUUACACCAUAUCUGAACCUCGAGUUCGAGUUACACCCUUGUUACUACCAUUACAGAGACUUGUGUACCCUUUACUUUCAUAUCCACUAUUUCAGUUUCUGCACUCUUUGUCAGAUUAGUGGAUCUUUCUAUGCACCAGUUUCCGUACCAUCAGGUGGCGACUAUGUACCACUUUCUUUGGUCCAUCAGUACCAGUUGUUGAAAUAGUCUACUUAUGACUCUAGAUGUGGGAUUCCAGGAUCUUAUGAUCCUAUGUCUGUUUUUGCGGAUUCAGAUUUUCUUGCCCGAGAGUUCAGUGUGAAAAUUGUAUCAGAUUUUUGUUCCUGUAUUUGAGGGACUCCAUACUGAUACCCUCCAUCAUCUUAGAAUAUGUAAAUUUUACACUUGAUAAAUAUAGUCUUUUCUGAGUUCCAACAUAGGGUCUCAGAAAUAUUUGGUUGAUAAAUUUGUUGUAUAGUUUGAUUUUUGGGAGUUUACACACGUAGUCCGUGUGUAUCUCAGUUAUAGUAUAUGAUGUAUUUUGAGAAUAUUAGACAUUAUAUAAUAUCGGACUUGAGGAUCGUGCCCAUCUUUUUUAUGCAGAGGCUAUAGUUUCGAUCCAUAGAUCAUUCGGAAAAUAGAGAUGUGUAUAGAUGAUAUUUUGUGUAGUGAUGUCCAGAUGUAACAGGAUGAUAACCAGAUGUACUAUCUAUAUUAUGACCUGUAACCUUAAAGCUUCGGAUAUUAUUACCAUCUUGGGAAGGAUGAUCAAUCUUUAUGUCAUAUGCUUGUCUCUUUCGUUGUCUCUACCUUCCCUAUGCUUCUUGCACUUGUCAACUACUUUUGACCUGUCUCAUUUCUGUCAGCUAUCUUGCAUUUGCUACAUCAAUGAUCCAAUGUGAAGUCUUCAACCUUUAAACUUUUUAGAGGUUUUCAAGAAGAGAAAUGUUUCAGUUUCUAAAGUUUAGAGUUUUCAAAAGAAAAGGUGCAAAAGUUUUCAAAAAUAUGCAACUUUGGUACAAGUGCCUUUUUAACCAAAGUGUGGAACCUGUUUUCAAAAGUUUUAUACUGUGUAUUUUAUAAAAUUGCACCUUGUUGUACCUUUGGAUAAACCUUGUAUUUUGUAUAAUGAUGAGACCUAUUAAACUGUUUCGUCUACUCUUUUAUAUAAAGAUGGAUUUAAACCUGAAUGACGACCCUAUUGAUGAAUCAAUACCAGAUGCUUCAACUAGAUUUCAGCCCAGUCCCAAUCUUGUUCAAUUACUUGUUGAUCUUCUUCAAUAACAUACCAAGAAAUUUCAAAACAAUUCUGAAAGAAGUUCUUCGAGUCAAUUUAUCAGACCUACCCUUUCAUUCAAAUCUUUCAAAUUUUUACAACCCCUAUUGUUAAAAGGCACUGUAGAUCCCGUUGAGGCCAAGAUAUGGCUAAGAGAAGUGGAGAAAAACUUUUGAAAUAGUUCAUGUAGAAAAGGAUAAGAAAACUAACUUUGAUACUUAUGUGCUUAAGGUAGAGGCUAAUUAUUGUGGGAAGCUAAGAGAUUUCAAGAAGAGUCUAGUGUGAUUUCAUGAACUAUGUUUACAAAGUUAUUCCUAGAGAAGUAUGUUCUUAAACACCUAGAGAGUCAAAUGGAGCUCAAAUUUCUAGAGCUUAAGCAAGAAAAUAUGUUAGUAACUGAACACGAAGCUAAGUUUAUCGAACUUUUGAAAUUUAUUCCACAUCAAGUAACUACGGACGAAAAGAAAGCUAGACGUUUUUCAGUCGAGCUUAAAGCCCUUGAUUCAGAAUAGAGUUGUUCUCGAAAUUACUAAUUAUGCGACGUUAGUGCAUAAAGUUUGUAUCGUUAAGUCAAGUAGCGAGUUGUUUAACAAAGAGAAAGUCGAUAGGAAGAGGAAACUCUCGCAGAAUAAUCAAGAUUUUGAAAAAAAAAAAACCUUGGAAUCAUAGCGUGAAGAAGCCUUUUGUAGAGAUGUCGAGAGCAGAGAAUAUAGGUAAUAUAGAAGAAAAUCAAAGGUUUAGAUCUUCGCAGACUGCGCACGUGUUAUAAAGGAGACCCUUGUUGCUUGAGUAUAAGAUCUAUGGAAUACAGCAUUUAUGAAUAAUAUUACGUUUCACACUGUUUCGGCUCAAGUCGACCUCAAACCUCAUUUUGAAAACUGAGAAGUUUAUAGUGUAUUUUGAGUCCUUCCUUUGUCUAGAAGUGACUACUCCUAAUAAUCAAUAUUUCUUUGACGAUACAAUUUUUUUUUUUUAUGAUUCAUGAUUUAAUAUUCGAGAAAUGGAAUACACAUAUACCACAAUGAUGAUCUCAAUCUAAUAAAUCUAAGAGAUCAUUAUUCCAUAUUUGAUCCUAUUUUCGAUUCUAUCCACUGAAAAUCCUUGAUUUGUGAUUAAAGGAUGCAUUGCUCGCAUUCCUUGGAAGAAAUGUGUUAAGAAACAAGUAUGGUAGAUCAAGUUUGUCAAAACUGUGAAAUAACGAUUCAAAAGCAAAUCUUUGAUAUAAAUCUUAUUUCCUUGAAAUUUCUUCAGUCUGAUUGGGAUGAACAACCCUAAUUAUAGGGGACACAAGGUAUACCUAUCUGUGUGAUAGGAGUUGGAUGGGACGCCAUCACUUGUGUGUGUUGUGAUUACAAGAAGGUUAACAACCUUUAGUAGUGUCUUGAUUUGGACACGCAACACUUAGUUCAUUUGAUGAAAUUGGUCUCCCAAUCAUCCUUUUUGUUUUAAAUGAAAGCUAUUCUGAAAAAUCAUUGAUUGGUGAUUUCCAUUGUGAAAGACUUCUAUAUAUAUCCAAGAAAGUUUUAAAAUUCUUAUUUCCUUUGAGUUCUCUUCAAAAUGCUCAGAAUUCAAAUUCUUUGAUUUUGUUCUUUUCAAAAAUACAGUUCUCUUUUAAAGGUGUUUCAAGAAGUUCUUGUAUGGAGACAUCAAAUUUAGACCCUCAGAUUUGAGGAUUGUUGCAUUAAUUAUCGAAAGUUGGAUAAGGUGACCCUUUACCUAAGAUUGAUAAUUUGUUUAAUCAGUUGAAGAGAGCAUCCUACUUUUUAAGAUGGACUUGAGAUCUGGAUACCAUUAGUUAAAGAAUCAGGUUUGAGAAUGUACCUAAGACGGUCUUUAGGACCCGACAUGAACAUUAUGAGUUCUUAGAGAUGCCUUUCGGAUUGAUUAAUGCACCUAAAACCAUUAUGUAUCUUAUGAAAUGAGUAUUUAAGGAAUAUUUGGAUAAGUGUACUAUUAUUACAUCAAUGAUAUUUUGAUUUAUUCUAAGACAAAAGAAGAGUAUGUUAAGUAUCUUUGAAUAACUUGGAAGAUUUUGAGGAAAGAAAAGUUAUCUGCAAAAUUUUUGAAAUGAGAAUUUUGAUAGAGCAAGCGCAGUUUUAGGGCAUAUUGUUUAUAAGGAAGAAAUGUCGGUAGACCCCUUAAAGAUUGAGACCCUAUCAAAUUAUGAUAGACCGAUAACCUGAACAGAAAUGAGAAGUAUUCUUGGAUUAGCAGGAUAUUGUAGAUGAUUCGUACAAGAUUUCUCUAAGAUUGCAAUUCCUUUGACCAAGUUGACUAGGAAAGAAGAGAAAUUUGAAUGGACGCCUAAGUGCGAAGAGAGUUUUCUGGAAUUAAAGAAACGACUUACUAUUCCCCUGUGUUAACUUUACCAAAUAAGACAGGAAAGUUUGUGAUUUAUAGUGAUGUAUCUCAAAAUGAACUAGGAUGUGUUAUUAUGCAACAUAGAAAAAUGAUAGCAGAUGCUUAUAGGAAACUUAAGGACUACGAAUUGAGAUAUCCUACACAUGACCUAGAAUUAUCUGCGAUGGUAUUUGCUUUAAAUAUUUGGCGACAUUACUUGUAUGGUGAAAAGUGUGUGGAUAUUUACUUAUUUACUCAGAAAGAGUUAAGUAUGAGACAAAGGAGAUGGUUAAAGUUGAUAAAGGACUAUGAUUGUACAAUUAACUAUCACCCAGGGAAAGCGAAUGUAGUUGCUGAUGAAUUAAGUGGAACUGAAAGAGUUAAUGUUAUGUCUUUUCCAAAGGAAUUGAUUAAGGUGAAAAGCUAGGAUUGGAGAUUAAGAAUUCAGAGCACUAGGAGGGAAGGAUUUAUGAGAUGUUAGCACAACCGGAUUUACUAGAAAGAAUCAAAAAGAACAAGAGUUAAUGAUUGAUGAAAGACGUUAAGAACUAACUGGUGGUGAGUGCUUAAGUGUUAAAGAUGAAAAAAAAAAGAACGUGGAGAUUUGCUAAUAGGGUUUGGAUUCCUAACAUGACAAAUCUUAAAAGAAAUAUUCUAGGUGAAGCACACGAAUCAAGAUAUUCUAUUCACCCGGGAAGCACCAAGAUGUAUCAGGAUUUAAAGAAUUAUUGGUGACCUAACAUGAAAAUAAAAAUAACUGAUUGGGUAAGUAAAUGUCUGACAUGUCAGAAGGUGAAAGCAGGAAACCAUAGACCUAGUGGAUUAUUACAACCGUUAGAGAUCCAAGAAUGAAAAUGGGAACACAUCACCAUGGAUUUUAUAGUUGGAUUACCAAAGACUCGAGCUAAUCAUGACGCUAUUUGGGUAAUUAUAGAAUGAUGGACGAUAUCUACGCAUUUUCUUUCUAUUAGUGAGAAAUGUACCCUUGAGAGAUUAGUAAAGGUGUAUAUAAACAAAGUUGUGCUUGUAUCAAAUGUUUCGGAUAGAGAUGCGAGGAUUACAUCGAGAUUUUGGCAAGCAUUUCAGGAAUAUUUUGGAACUAAGCUGAACCUAAGUACUGUGUAUCACCCUUAGACUGAUGGACAAAGUGAAAGGACGAAUCAGACUAUAAAAAAAUAUGUUAAGAGCUUGUUCUUUCAAUUUUAAAGGAGGUUGGGAGGAUCAUUGAUGUUUAAUAGAGUUUGCUUAUAACAAUAGAUAUCAUUCUAAUAGUGGGAUGACAUCUUACGAGGCAUUAUAUGGUAGAAAGUGUAGAUCACCUAUUCGUUGGGAUAAAGUUGGUGAGAAGAAAAUUUUAGGACCAAAGCUAGUUCAACACACUAAGCAAUCAACUGAAAAGAUACGUAAGAAGAUAGUUGCAGCUGAAGGUAAACAAAAGAAAUAUGCAGAUUUAGAAAGAAAAGAGAAAGCCUUUGACGUAGGAGAAAAAGUACUUUUGAAAGUGUCAUAUUGGAAAGGAAUAGUUAGAUGUGGGGAGAGAAGUAAGUUGAAUACGAGGUAUAUAGGACCAUUAACGAUUCUAAGGAAAUUGGAAGUAUUUCUUAUUAAUUGGCUUUACCUCCAGGCUUACAACACAUUCAUGACGUUUUUCAUAUAUCCUUGCUAAAAGAUUACAAGACUGAUAACCGUCAUGUUUUGAGUUAUGAGCCAAUAAAUAAAACGGACUUUACAUACGAAGAAAAAUAAGUAGAGAUGGUAGAUUCGAAGUUUCAAGAGCUGAGAAACAAGAAAGUAAAAUUAGUUAAAGUGAUUUGGCGAAAUCAAGCUAUAGAAGAAGACACAUGGGAACUGGAAGAGGCAAUGAAAGAAUAGUAUCCAGAAUUGUUUCAGCAUCAAAUCUGAUUCCGAGGUCGGAAUCCUUUAAAGGAGGGAAGAAUGUAACAACUGCAAAUUUUCAAGUACAUAAAUUAGUUAUUUAAUUUUAUGCGAUUACAAUUUAUUAUUUAAAUAAUUCGAAAUAUAUGGUAUUGGUACGUAAAACAUUCAAGACGGGUAUAAGGUUAAUUUAUAUUGACUAGCAAAUUAUAUUUAUUUACGUAUCACGAGGAUUUAAAUAUUGGUUACGUAAAUAAAUUGGUAGAAGUAUAGUGAUCCGAAAUAUUAUAAAUAUUACAGGUUAGCUAUAAUAAAUAUUUCGUUAUUUUUAAUUAAUAAAUUUUGGAAUAUUUAGAAAAUAAUUAGAAUAAUCAUUAAAUUAACUAUUCUAGUAUUUUAUAGUUCCGAAUAAUAUUUUUAUGAAAAUCGUUAAAUGAGUCGGGACUAAAAUAUUCAUUAAAUAAACGAAAUAAAUUAAGCGAUUGCGAGACGUUUAAUUGCGGGCAAAUAAUGAUAAUAAUAAAACAAAAUAAACAAACUAACCGACUAGGUAAGCCGGUGGUAUUUGCACAUUGAAUCAAGAAAACUGGGUACUUGAGAAACCAGUUGUGUAGCCUCCAAGUAAGGUUUAACUAGGGUUAGGUUAAGCUCAUCAUAGUUAAAAGCUAGUAUAAAUACUAAAGAGAGUGUACACAUUAUUUCUUUUACAAGAGAAAUAGAAAGGGAGCAGAUUUUAAGCAGCAGAGAAAAUUUGCAAAGAGAACUCAGGGAAGGUGCCAAUCAAUCUUUAAUUAUUGAGUAAAUAGUGAGUAUGGCACAACUCAAGGGAACCACCCGGAAAUUGGUUUUUGGCAAAGGCAGGAAAAAGGCGCAUCACCCAAGCUGAGACUGCUAGACAACUUGGUAGUACGAGCUAUAGUUAUUAUAAUGGUUUGAAAUCAGACUUCCCUUUAUGUAAUAAAGUUAGGCUCGGUAGUAAUGUUGUAAGAUGAUCGACUCUGGACUUGUGGGGAAAGAGUUGGAUUGUGUAAUAUUAAUAUGUAAUGCAAGUGUUGUUUUGAGCCAGA